UGGUAAUUUAAAACGUACAUUCAUUUCCCCGUGGGGACCCAGUGUGCAAUGUUUGCUAACAGUUGCCUUUUUGUAGCGCAUGCAGCCUGUUGCCUGUAUGGAUUGCCCUAAGAGACCUUGGAGACAGUU
ensembl:snoRNA Gm24175 predicted gene, 24175